rnacentral:rRNA from 1 species
UACGAAGGGGGCUAGCGUUGUUCGGAUUUACUGGGCGUAAAGCGCACGUAGGCGGACUAUUAAGUCAGGGGUGAAAUCCCGGGGCUCAACCCCGGAACUGCCUUUGAUACUGGUAGUCUUGAGUUCGAGAGAGGUGAGUGGAAUUCCGAGUGUAGAGGUGAAAUUCGUAGAUAUUCGGAAGAACACCAGUGGCGAAGGCGACUCACUGGACACGUAUUGACGCUGAGGUGCGAAAGCGUGGGGAGCAAACAGG